rnacentral:miRNA from 1 species
CUAAGUUGAUGGUGCUUAUGACGUCGAAUAUCGACGUCAUAAACACCUAAGUUGAUGGUGUUUAUGACGUCGAAUAUCGACGUCAUAAACAGCAAAG